CUCCUUUCUAAGGAUGAUCAAGAAUGGGCCUAGGCCUUUUUUGAUCUGAUUAGACAUUGACGGUUUAAAGUCUUAUUUAAACCGUUGACAUAUUUUAAACAUUCUAUGAACCGUGGGUUUUGAAUGGAAACUCUGUCCCCUUUAGUGAUACAGAGCAUAACUGUUUUUUAUCCAUGGUUCAUUUGUUUAAAAAUUUAUAAAAAGACUAGCCGCCUUCAUUUCUCUUUCUUCAGAUGAUGAUCCUAAGCCUUCUGGCGAUCUGUUUGCACAAGCCUCUGAGAGGGAUGAAGAUAUUGUUUUCUUUGAUCAGAUUAUGCCGGUAAAGGUUUUCUGGUUUACCCUAUAGGGCUUGUAGCUCAGUUGGUUAGAGCGCGCGCUUGAUAAGCGUGAGGUCGGAGGUUCAAGUCCUCCCAGGCCCACCAGUUACACGAUGCUAAAAGUUGCUAUAUUGGGAGAGUUGAUAAUCCCUUACAGGAAAUUAUUGCCCUUAAUAAAACUUUAUUUUCUAAAAGCAUUCAGAGCUGACAUAGAAUAGAGCUGACAUAGAAUUGAGAAUCUGACAUAGGAAUUAUUGAAAUUGUUUUGGAAUUAUUGAAAUUGUUUUCUAUCAUUUUAAAAGGCUAAAAUAUUCUGUCUCUAUUUUUAAAAUAGCAUCAGGUGUUUUGUAAGAGUGUGAAGUUUUUAAGUGUGAGGUUUUUUAUAUUUUAGUGUGAGGUUUUUAUAAGGGUAUGACGUGAGAGCGUUUUGACCUGUUUUAGGGGCCGUAGCUCAGCUGGGAGAGCACCUGCUUUGCAAGCAGGGGGUCGUCGGUUCGAUCCCGUCCGGCUCCACCAUAAUUUGGUUCAUCAUUAUUGUUAGAAGAAUAGUUAUUGCAAGAGAUUGAGAGAUCUCUUUGCUUGUUCUAUUGAAAUUGUGAAGAAGAAGGUAUAUUCAGACGUUUUUUGCUUGAACUCAUUCUUAUGAAAGAGAUUUUUCUUAUGAAAGAGAUUUUUAAGAAUGGAUAGCUUAAAAAGAAGAAUGGAUGGCUUAAAAAGGUGGCUUAAAAAGAUGGCUGUUUUUAAAUGAAAAUAGUUAUUUUUACGCUCUUUUGACGAUUGUUACAACAUUAUACGAUUAAAACAUUAUACGAUAAUGAUAAUAACGAUAAUAAAAAGAGCUUUCAUUAAUAAAAAGAGCUUUCAUUAAUAAUAAAGAGCUUUCAUUAAUAAUAAAGAGCUUUCAUUAAUAAUAAAGAGCUUUCAUUGAACUUUCAUUGAAGAAGCAUUUUGAGCAAAACAGAUGUGUCGCAAGGAAGAGCUCAAAUUCCUUGCUUAUGAUUGGCAACUUAACCGUGCCAUUGAAUAUAUCUCGAGAAGUUGGUCUUUUCUGCUGAUAUUUUUGUUUUAAGUGCCUAUUGAUGCUAGAUUAUUUUUAAAAAUAAUUUUGUAUUGAUGAUUUUGCACGGAAUAAUUGACGAAUGAAUAUGGCAAUGAGAAUGAU
rnacentral:tRNA from 1 species